rnacentral:rRNA from 1 species
AGUGAACGCUGGCGGUAGGCCUAACACAUGCAAGUCGAACGGCAGCACAGUAAGAGCUUGCUCUUACGGGUGGCGAGUGGCGGACGGGUGAGGAAUACAUCGGAAUCUUCUUUUUCGUGGGGGAUAACGUAGGGAAACUUACGCUAAUACCGCAUACGUCCUACGGGUGAAAGCAGGGGAUCUUCGGACCUUGCGCGAUUGAAUGAGCCGAUGUCGGAUUAGCUAGUUGGCGGGGUAAAGGCCCACCAAGGCGACGAUCCGUAGCUGGUCUGAGAGGAUGAUCAGCCACACUGGAACUGAGACACGGUCCAGACUCCUACGGGAGGCAGCAGUGGGGAAUAUUGGACAAUGGGCGAAAGCCUGAUCCAGCCAUACCGCGUGGGUGAAGAAGGCCUUCGGGUUGUAAAGCCCUUUUGUUAGGAAAGAAAAGCAGCAGGUUAAUACCCCGAUGUUCUGACGGUACCCAAAGAAUAAGCACCGGCUAACUUCGUG